AUUGAACGCUGGCGGCAGGCCUAACACAUGCAAGUCGAGCGGAUGAAGGGAGCUUGCUCCUGGAUUCAGCGGCGGACGGGUGAGUAAUGCCUAGGAAUCUGCCUGGUAGUGGGGGAUAACGUCCGGAAACGGGCGCUAAUACUGCAUACGUCUUGAGGGAGAAAGUGGGGGAUCUUCGGAACUCACGCUAUCAGAUGAGCCUAGGUCGGAUUAGCUAGUUGGUGGGGUAAAGGCCUACCAAGGCGACGAUCCGUAACUGGUCUGAGAGGAGGAUCAGUCACACUGGAACUGAGACACGUUCCAGACUCCUACGGGAGGCAGCGGUGGGGAAUUUUGAACAAGGUGCGAAAGCCUGAUCCAGCCAUGCCGGGUGUGUGAAGAAGGUCUUCGGAUGGUAAAGCACUUUAAGUUGGGAGGAAAGGCAGUAAGUUAAAACCUUGCUGUUUUGACGUUACCAACAGAAUAAGCACCGGCAAACUUCGU
rnacentral:rRNA from 1 species